rnacentral:sRNA from 1 species
UCUGUUUAUCCAAAGAAUAGGUACAGCACAGACAAGUGCAGUGCAAGCUUCCCUGCACUUUUGAGCCAAUAUGCCUCAAUUUUCAUUUAGAAAGACCAUCUCUAGACAACAAGGGA